rnacentral:tRNA from 1 species
GAGGGUAUAGCUUAGUGGUAGAGCGCAUGCUUAAUAUGUUCAAGGUCCUGGGUUCAAUUCCCGAUACCUCCA